rfam:Felis catus isolate Cinnamon breed Abyssinian chromosome A1, whole genome shotgun sequence.
GCCUGGGUGGCUCAGUCGGCUAAGCAUCCAACUUUGGCUCAGAUCAUGAUCUCAUGGUUUGCGGGUUCGAGCCCCGCAUCAGGCU